GGAAGAACUUUAUGUUGAAGGUGUCAGAGCACUGGAACAGAGGUCGAGUCUCUGUCUCUGGAGACCUUCAAAACACAUCUGGAGGAGUUCCUGCGUCAUCUGCUGGAGGCAAGAAACAUGCUGACAUUUCAAUAUUCCUUCAACUCAACAGUUCAGAGUACAAUCACAACAAGAAAAGCAACAUGUGUACCCACGAAUAGCCAGAGAUUCAUUUCACUGGAUUUUCCAACUAUUGAAAGACCAUUGAACUCUUACUGAUCGGGAAUUGAACACUGUAGAGAUCCUUUAAACAACUUCUGGUGUUUAGACAGCAUUGGGAGGAGGGGAGUUCACAGUAGACAUAAAAGAUUUUUUUUCUGUGAAGCAGUUCCUGAACUGAUAAAGUUAUCCUGAAAUAAGCAUUUAGGGAAUUUUGUCAAUAAGGACAAUUAAGUGAGUCAAUGGGAACAACCAAAAAGAAUGCAGAAAGCACAGGUGAGUGUGUCUGGAAUUCUUUUUUGCCCUACUAAUUUCUGGAUACUGCUUCCUGUCCUUAGAAACAAGAAAAUCCCAUGUAAAUUGGAGUGAGGCCUUUUCUGGAGAGAGGAAUAGCCAAUACCUCCUUCCAUGGUGUAAAACCCCAAGAAAUUCUACCCAGGCUUUUCUCUGCUUUUCAUGCUUUCCAUACACCUAAAGCUCAGCAGCCCCUUGAAGAUUGUGGCUUUUCCUUUGAGCUAAUGAAAUUACAACAAGCAGCUGUAAGAUUUGGACUAUAUAAGCUAUUUUUCUGUGAGGAAAGAGAGCAUUUUCUUUAUGACUAAAAGAAUAAACAUUGUGAAGAAUAAACAGUAUGAGUAGCUUUAGCUGACGAAGACAGAAAUUUGGGAUAGGCUAGAGGAGUUAUGUUAUAUGCACAUUGAGGAAGAGUAGGAAAGGCAUAAAGUGCCACAGAAAAGAAGAUGUGAGGGAAGUCUAAAAAGGUUUGAAAAUUAUGCCUUAGGGAAAAUCCAAGUUGCUACAAUUUUCAGUUGAGAACUGUUGUAUACAGAACUCACCCAGAAACCAGCUACUGUGAAGCUCUGAUUCAAGGUGUGAGUUUGCUGUGAGAAAUUUUCCAUCCUUGUCAGGAUUUUGCCAACUGCGUCUUGCAAAAAUGUUGCUUCAUCAGUCCAGACCUACUGGGAACUCCAGACAUUUGGCAGAUAUUAGGAUUUUACUUCACUGAAUCACAGAAAGGUUAGAAGAGAGCUCUGGACAUCAUCUAGUCCAACAUACCCCUGCCAAGGCAGGGUCACCUGGAACAGGUGACACAGGAACAUUUCCAGGUGGGUUUGGAAUGUCUCCAGAUAGGGAAACUCCAUGGCCUCCCUGUUCCAGUGCUCUGCCACCCUCAAGGUAAAGACAUUCUUCCUCAUGUGGAGGUGGUUUGGUUUAUGGCCAUUGUUCCUUGUUCUGUCACUGGGUACCACUGAAAAAGAGUCUGGCACCAUCCACUUCCAUGACUAAACCAGGAAAUUUGGUUAAUGUUCUACCAUCACAUUAUAAACUUUAGCUUUGUAUUUUUUUAAUCAUAUGAACCCUUUUCUUUUGAAUGAUGCAAUCCUACGAUCACACUCGGUGAACCCAGAAAAAAUGCUGAACCACGUGAAUUGUGUAUAUGUAAAGGCAAAGUAAUUGGGAGAUAGAUAGAAAAAAAAACAGGAUAAGGCCUCCUUUCUUGCUGUAGUGCUAAGAAAACUCAACAUUGAAGAAUUUAGCAAGAGGUCAUUGAUACGAAAAACAUCAGAUUGCUUUGUAGUAGCAAUGUAUGAAUAACAUGAAACUGCUUCUGAGAGUCAGAAAAAGGAAUAGUUCUGAAGCUCAAUUUUUCAUCUGUCUAAAUAGCAUGGAUAUGCCUUUGGGCAUCUUCAGCUCAGAAACUACAGUUUUUUAAAUAAGUAUUUUUAACUGCAGUGAAGGACCCCUAAAAGCCUACCUAAAUAUAUUCUUGCAAGCAUGAGUGUGAAAUACAUAAAUCCUUUCGUUGAUGUCAAGUCUUAAGCCUCUUUAAAGCUACUAUGGAGGCCCUGAUGAUGAGGAUGCUUGUCAUCAUCUAUUCCUCUACUGACAUCUGGUGAUUAGAGUAAGGGUUGUGGUGUAAAAUUGAAAAAGACAGGAGUGACACUAUCUCGUAGGAUUAUUUUUCUUUUCCUUUUAAUUGCUACUGAGCCAUGCAGGUCCUUCCUUCUUACCAAAGAAAUUGAAAAAUAAACACUGUUAUAUCUUACAUGAUGUUUAGCUGUCUGGCUUAAAAUAAGCAGGUGUCAUCC